rnacentral:rRNA from 1 species
GACGAACGCUGGCGGCGUGCUUAACACAUGCAAGUCGAACGGUGAACCUCUUCGGAGGGGAUCAGUGGCGAACGGGUGAGUAACACGUGGGCAACCUGCCCCCGGCUCUGGGAUAACUCCAAGAAAUCGGGGCUAAUACCGGAUGUUCACCGCUUCCCGCAUGGGUGGUGGUGGAAAGGGUUUCCGGCUGGGGCUGGGCCCGCGGCCUAUCAGCUUGUUGGUGGGGUAGUGGCCUACCAAGGCGACGACGGGUAGCCGGCCUGAGAGGGUGACCGGCCACACUGGGACUGAGACACGGCCCAGACUCCUACGGGAGGCAGCAGUGGGGAAUAUUGCGCAGUGGGCGGGAGCCUGACGCAGCGGCGCCGCGUGGGGGAUGACGGCCUUCGGGUUGUAAACCUCUUUCAGCAGGGACGAAGCGCAAGUGACGGUACCUGAAGAAGAAGCACCGGCCAACUACGUG